GGGGCAUUAACGGUUUCGACAGGGUGGUGAAAUCUGCUUUGUGAUGCAGGUCGAGAGUGAGUCUUCUCUCGCAAAUCCUGGGCUCAAAAAAUAAUAAGUGCAAACAACAUUGUACCUUUUGCUCGUAAGCAAGUAGCUGUAGCUUAAUUGCGAAAACACCUCUUAUAGGUUCGAGCGUCUGUGAUUUGACUCCGUUAAGGAUUACAGACUUAACCCCAACGGAUGCACUAGCAAACUGCCUCUGGUCUGCUGCUAGUUAAGACCUCACCAGAGCAUCCCGCCAUCCGGGAUAAUGGAUGGUCCCUGCUCUGAGGGUUAAAAAGAGCUAAACCUGUGAAUGAGUGAAGGGUGAAUAGCCAUUUUGGACAUGGGUUCGACUCCCAUAUGCUCCAUUA
rnacentral:tmRNA from 1 species